rnacentral:tRNA from 1 species
GGACCUUUAGCUCAGUUGGUUAGAGCAACCGGCUCAUAACCGGUCGGUCCUGGGUUCGAGUCCCAGAAGGUCCA